rnacentral:misc_RNA from 1 species
CCAAUAGCGUAUAUUAAAGUUGUUGUGGUUAAAAAGCUCGUAGUUGAACCUUGGGCCUGGCUGUCCGGUCCGCCUCACCGCGUGUACUGGUUCGGCCGGGCCUUUCCCUCUGUGGAACCUCAUGCCCUUCACUGGGCGUGACGGGGAAACAGGACUUUUACUGUGAAAAAAUUAGAGUGCUCCAGGCAGGCCUAUGCUCGAAUACAUUAGCAUGGAAUAAUGAAAUAGGACGUGCGGUUCUAUUUUGUUGGUUUCUAGGACCGCCGUAAUGAUUAAUAGGGACAGUCGGGGGCAUCAGUAUUCAAUUGUCAGAGGUGAAAUUCUUGGAUUUAUUGAAGACUAACUACUGCGAAAGCAUUUGCCAAGGAUGUUUUCAUUAAUCAGGAACGAAAGUUAGGGGAUCGAAGACGAUCAGAUACCGUCGUAGUCUUAACCAUAAACUAUGCCGACUAGGGAUCGGGCGAUGUUGUUUCAAUGACUCGCUCGGCACCUUAUG